rnacentral:rRNA from 1 species
AGAGUUUGAUCCUGGCUCAGAAUGAACGCUGGCGGCGUGCCUAACACAUGCAAAGUCGAAACGCGAAAAGGGACUUCGGGUCCUGAGUAAAGUGGCGCACGGGUGAGUAACGCGUGGAUAAUCUACCCAAUGAUCUGGGAUAACAUCUCGAAAGGGGUGCUAAUACCGGAUARGACCACGGAGUCUCUGGAUUCUGCGGUAAAAGGUGGGGACCUUCGGGCCUACCGUCAUCGGAUGRGUCCGCGUACCAUUAGCUWGUUGGUGGGGUAAUGGCCUACCAAGGCKACGAUGGUUAGCUGGUCUGAGAGGAUGAUCAGCCACACUGGAACUGACACACGGUCCAGACUCCUACGGGAGGCAGCAGUGAGGAAUUUUGCGCAAUGGGGGCAACCCUGACGCAGCAACGCCGCGUGAGUGAUGAAGGCCUUUGGGUCGUAAAACUCUGUCAGCAGGAAAGAAAUUUAUAGAUGGGUUAAUACCCAUWUAUAUUGACGGUACCUGCAAAGGAAGCACCGGCUAACUCCGUGCCAGMCGCCGCGGUAAUA